GCGCCAGUGUGUCUCGAAUGAUUGAUUGAACGAUGAGUGUGUACCACCAAAAAUGACAAUUACCCAAAAAUUCAAAUAAAUCCCACGCAUUAAAUUUCAAAAGUCAAAGUAAAAGUAGACGAACAAAAAUUAUUGACCACAAAUGUGAUGAUGCAAAAGCACGCUCUGAGAAUUUUCUUACCCAAUAUGGAAGUACAACGAUGGUCUGCGUUUAUGAAUCACUUCUGGACGCGGAAUAAACGACAGAACUAUAAAAGUGGAUUCACCUCGAUUUUCAUUGAAAUGUUCCAUCCCCUCGACAAAUUCAUCUCACCACAUUAUCACUGGAGUCCAGGAUUUCGAAUUUUCUCAAGAAUUUAUCUACCACACGUGAAAGGAGUAUCGACAGCCGGCAGCUGAGGAAGAGAUAACCCGUUUAACCCUCUUAGGCCCGUAGUUUUAGAAUCAACAAGCCAAGAGUUUCCGGCACGCGAGAAAUAUAACGUCACGAAUUCUAGUGCCACAAAUUUCUUGGUCUUCAUAUCGAGCUAUUCAACUCUAUCGAUUAUAUUUUGCGAAAUAUUUGAAAAAUCUCCCCACCCCCCUACCCCCUCCCAAUAAUCCAGUCUACCGUUUUUUAAAGCCCCCAUUAAAUUAUUUUUAACAAUAUAAUAUCCAGGGAACAAUAUUUUCUCCUCAUUUUAUAAAAAUAAAAAAGAUACAUUGAGGGAAAAAAUUGGAAAAUGUAAAAAUAUCGGGUCUUAAUGAACAAUUUAAUUUGUUAAUCCAUCCCAGUGAUAAAAAAAAAUUCUGCUGUCAAGAAUAUUUACAUUUAACUUAUGUUUAAUUUACUUAAUAUCAGAAUUUCAUGAAAAUAUUUGUUUUCUUAGUGCAAUGGAAAAAAAAUAAUAAUAAAA